rnacentral:rRNA from 1 species
UACGAAGGGUGCAAGCGUUACUCGGAAUUACUGGGCGUAAAGCGUGCGUAGGUGGUUCGUUAAGUCUGUCGUGAAAGCCCCGGGCUCAACCUGGGAAUGGCAUUGGAAACUGGCGAGCUAGAGUGUGGCAGAGGGGGGUGGAAUUCCGCGUGUAGCAGUGAAAUGCGUAGAGAUGCGGAGGAACACCGAUGGCGAAGGCAGCCCCCUGGGCUGACACUGACGCUCAGGCACGAAAGCGUGGGGAGCAAACAGG